rnacentral:rRNA from 1 species
CGGGAAAUCCACUCGCCUAACGAGUGGGCGUCCGGCGGAAACUACAGGGCUUGGGACCGGAAGACUUGAGGGGUACGUCUGGGGUAGGAGUGAAAUCCUGUAAUCCUGGACGGACCGCCGAUGGCGAAAGCACCUCAAGACGACGGAUCCGACAGUGAGGGACGAAAGCUAGGGUCUCGAACCGGAUUAGAUACCCGGGU